GUCCUCAAACUGAUAUUCUGAAGGGAAACUUACUACUUUUGUUUCUUUUCCUGAAUUUGGUCUUCCCAGAGGUUAAGGAUCCUGGUGUCAAAUUGGAACCCAGCCUACUUGACGUUGAAGUCUCCAGAAUAUAGUUUGGUUUCAGGGAAUGUAGCCACCUUGUGGGGUAUCUGGAAGAGGCUUCAUUGAUUGUGACUUUUACUGUGUGCCCAGUUCUGAUAGUCUGGUGUAUUUUCAGAAGAAUGUUGAACGUAAGGCUAAUCAGGGAGAUUUUAAUUUAUUGGGCACUAUAGACAUGAAACUUUUUAAAAGCUGAUGAAAAAAUUUAAAACCUGGAAAAAAUUAUAGGCUACAAAAUAAGAGAAAUACACUGCAAAAUGAAAGUUUCAGAAACAAAAUUAUAAAAAUCCUUUUGCAGUUUAAAGAAAAAUGUUAUAUUUAGGAUGAGAUUGGAUAUGUAUGUAUUAACAUAUUUGAUAUGAUGUGGGAUGGAACUCCAGAGCAGGAAAGGCUCAGCCUAUGAACCUCUUACUAUGGCCCUGCGGCUGGGCAUAUUGAGAGACAGCGAUGGAUACUUCUGGGUUUAAAUAAACACUUUUUCUUUCCUGGAUAAAAGUUUAUUGUUUCUGGUUUGCCUCUUAACAAGAGAUGCUAGUAAUACCAGCUUCGAUCUAAAAACUUCAAUUUCCUAUGACAGCAACUGAACAAUGUCUUGAAAUUCCGUCAUUGUUAGACUGGGUGGGAAAAUUCUAGCUGAACCUGCUUCUUUUAUUAAGAGGAUUGGCCUUUGUGACCUCAGAGAAGAAUUUUGGCAGAACAGAUAUGCUGAUUCUAGUCCUGGUAGCAAUUGCUGGGCUCUCAGCAACUCUUCAUGUGGGCUCUUCCCUUCUCCCUUUCAAAACUUGCAAUUAACCCUGGAAAUGUUAUUUCCAAGAUAUUGACAGAAUGACUUCAAACUCCCGAGCAAAGCACAGGGAGAUGGAUUUCCUAAGAGGUGGAGUGUUUUCUUUAAAAAG
rnacentral:lncRNA from 1 species